GACGAACGCUGGCGGCGUGCCUAAUACAUGCAAGUUGAGCGAUGAAGAUUGGUGCUUGCACCAAUUUGAAGAGCAGCGAACGGGUGAGUAACGCGUGGGGAAUCUGCCUUUGAGCGGGGGACAACAUUUGGAAACGAAUGCUAAUACCGCAUAACAACUUUAAACAUAAGUUUUAAGUUUGAAAGAUGCAAUUGCAUCACUCAAAGAUGAUCCCGCGUUGUAUUAGCUAGUUGGUGAGGUAAAGGCUCACCAAGGCGAUGAUACAUAGCCGACCUGAGAGGGUGAUCGGCCACAGUGGGACUGAGACACGGCCCAAACUCCUACGGGAGGCAGCAGUAGGGAAUCUUCGGCGAUGGACGAAAGUCUGACCGAGCAACGCCGCGUGAGUGAAGAAGGUUUUCGGAUCGUAAAGCUCUGUUGGUAGAGAAGAACGUUGGUGAGAGUGGAAAGCUCAUCAAGUGACGGUAACUACCCAGAAAGGGACGGCUAACUACGUG
rnacentral:rRNA from 1 species